rnacentral:rRNA from 1 species
GAUUAACGCUGGCGGCGUGCCUAACACAUGCAAGUCGAGCGGCAGCGAGUUUUACACUGAAUUCUGGAAGCUUCUAGUUGAAAGAGAAGAUUUAUUCAAGAAUUUUGUGUAAAAUGUCGGCGAGCGGCGGACGGCUGAGUAACGCGUGGGAACGUACCCCAAAGUGAGGGAUAACGCAUCGAAAGGUGUGCUAAUACCGCAUAUGGUCUUCGGAUUAAAGCCUUCGGGCGCUUUGGGAACGGCCUGCGUAAGAUUAGAUAGUUGGUGGGGUAAUGGCCUACCAAGUCGACGAUCUUUAACUGGUUUGAGAGGAUGAUCAGUCAGACUGGAACUGAGACACGGUCCAGACUCCUACGGGAGGCAGCAGUGAGGAAUCUUCCACAAUGGGCGAAAGCCUGAUGGAGCAACGCCGCGUGCAGGAUGAAGGCCUUCGGGUUGUAAACUGCUUUUAUAAGUGAGGAUUAUGACGGUAACUUAUGAAUAAGGAUCGGCUAACUACGUG